GGGCGAGCGGCGCCGUGCGGAGGCCUGUCCCGCGUUUGCGCUGCGGGGACCCCCCAGCCCGGGGCUGCCGCCUGCGGACGGAAGAAGCCACGUUUACUGGGCACUUGCCACAGCACUUUACCCGCGUUAACUCCUUUAACAUCGCCGACCCAGCCGCAGCAAUCUCACCAAGCGGGUGCCCUCAUGAACCAUGGUCUCCAGAUGGGGAAACUGAGGCUCCGCAGCUGCAGGAACCUGGCCGAGGUGGCUCCGGGCCUGCGGGUUUGGAAGCAGGCGGCCUGGCCCCGGCCUCUUUGCAGCCCAGUAUUGGUUCCCUCCUCCGUGACCAUCCUCACGCUCCCAAAUAGCAUCGGGGUUCCACAACUGCGGGGUUUCUGAAUUUCUCUUAGUGUUUCGGGACUUCCAGGCUGGCUGUGUCACCCUCCCGUGGGGCGGCCAGAGGUCACCGGCGUUGCUCCCGAUGGUGGAGACCCAGCUCCCAUGGGGCGAGCUGGCUGUGGCCUGACCCAUCCGUGUCCUCAUCUGAACAAUGCGCUUCUGGUGACGCAGGCCGAUCAUAAUGAUGGGAGCUGUUAGCCCUCGUUGAAUCUGCUGCUGUCCCGGGCCCUGCGCCUAGUGCUUUCUGGAAGAGCAACACGUGGACGGUGUGUUUGGGUCCCCUUUGUACACGUGUGAUCGGAGGCUAACCCAGAUCGAGUACACGGAGCUCAAAAAUGUGAAACGAGCCAAUGAAGGAGAAAGACCAAAAGAACGCAGGGGCAAGGUCGUGGACGCACAUUUCUGGGAGCGGUUGCGAGUCUCCAGGACUAUGUGACAAUGCAUGAUGUGUCGCUUCUCGGGUGCAUCAGCUUGCGGACCAGGUCGGGUGGAGUCAUGUGGCACCUUCCCAAUUGUGCUUUUUUACAUGUCUCUGCUUUUAAGGAAAGAAUGACUGUGUGAGCAUGACCCUGGCUAAGUCUAGUUACUGCUUUUGUAAAAGAGGAUAAUAAGCCUUGAUCUUCGUGGAGCUCCUCUUGUGUCUGUGACUCCGGGUGUAUGUGAGUGCUUUGAGGGGGACAUAUUCCUGGAUAACGAUCUGUUGACACUGAUGGUGAGCUGAGUAAUAAGCUUAAUUUCUCCGACUUGAAGGAAUUUACAACAUACUUGAGAGGAUUUAGACUCCAGUGUAAUUGUUCUCAUAACAUAUAAUAAAGCGCUAAAUUACUCAUCAAA